rnacentral:tRNA from 1 species
AAUAAGUUGGCAGAUUAGUGCAUUUGGCUUAGGAUCAAAACAAAGGGGACCAUCCCCUACUUAUUA